UGAGUAACCUGCCCUUAACUCUGGGAUAAGCCUGGGAAACUGGGUCUAAUACCGAAUAUGACUCCUCAUCGCAUGGGUGGGGGGUGGAAAGCUUUAUUGUUGGUUUUUGGAUGGACUCGCGGCCUAUCAGCUUGUUGGUGAGGUAAUGGCUCACCAAGGCAACGACGGGUANCUGGUCUGAGAGGAUGGCCAGCCCACAUUGGGACUGAGAUACCGGCCCAGACCUCCGUACGGGAGCA
rnacentral:rRNA from 1 species